GAUGAACGCUGGCGGCGUGCCUAAUACAUGCAAGUCGAGCGAACGGACGAGAAGCUUGCUUCUCUGAUUUUAGCGGCGGACGGGUGAGUAACACGUGGAUAACCUACCUAUAAGACUGGGAUAACCUCGGGAAACCGGAGCUAAUACCGGAUAAUAUUUUGAACCGCAUGGUUCAAAAGUGAAAGACGGUCUUGCUGUCACUUAUAGAUGGAUCCGCGCUGCAUUAGCUAGUUGGUAAGGUAACGGCUUACCAAGGCAACGAUGCAUAGCCGACCUGAGAGGGUGAUCGGCCACACUGGAACUGAGACACGGUCCAGACUCCUACGGGAGGCAGCAGUAGGGAAUCUUCCGCAAUGGGCGAAAGCCUGACGGAGCAACGCCGCGUGAGUGAUGAAGGUCUUCGGAUCGUAAAACUCUGUUAUUAGGGAAGAACAUAUGUGUAAGUAACUGUGCACAUCUUGACGGUACCUAAUCAGAAAGCCACGGCUAACUACGUG
rnacentral:rRNA from 1 species